rnacentral:rRNA from 1 species
CCUACGGGGGGCAGCAGUGAGGAAUAUUGGUCAAUGGGCGCUAGCCUGAACCAGCCAAGUAGCGUGAAGGAUGACUGCCCUAUGGGUUGUAAACUUCUUUUAUAUGGGAAUAAAGUGCAGUAUGUAUACUGCUUUGCAUGUACCUUAUGAAUAAGGAUCGGCUAACUCCGUGCCAGCAGCCGCGGUAAUACGGAGGAUCCGAGCGUUAUCCGGAUUUAUUGGGGUUAAAGGGACCGUAGGCGGGUUGUUAAGUCAGUUGUGAAAGUUUGCGGCUCAACCGUAAAAUUGCAGUUGAUACUGGCAGCCUUGAGUACAGUAGAGGUAGGCGGAAUUCGUGGUGUAGCGGGGCAAUGCUUAGAUAUCACGAAGAACUCCGAUUGCGAAGGCAGCCUGCUGGACUGUAACUGACGCUGAUGCUCGAAAGUGUGGGUAUCAAACAGGAUUAGAUACCCUUGUAGUC